UUACGGUUAUAUCACGUUGAAACGACGGUUCCCGUACAAUCGCCGAAGUUAAGCAACGUCGAACUUGGUUAGUACCUCGAUGGGUGACCACUUAGAAUAGCAAGUGCUGUAAG